rnacentral:rRNA from 1 species
CCUACGGGUGGCAGCAGUGGGGAAUAUUGGGCAAUGGGCGCAACCCUGACCCAGCAACGCCGCGUGAGGGAAGAAGGCUUUCGGGUUGUAAACUUCUUUUCGCAGGGACGAAGCAAGUGACGGUACCUGAGGAAUAAGCCACGGCUAACUACGUGCCAGCAGCCGCGGUAAUACGUAGGUGGCAAGCGUUAUCCGGAUUUACUGGGUGUAAAGGGCGUGUAGGCGGUGACGCAAGUCAGAUGUGAAAACCACGGGCUCAACCUGUGGCCUGCAUUUGAAACUGUGUUUCUUGAGUACUGGGGAGGCAGACGGAAUUCCUAGUGUAGCGGUGAAAUGCGUAGAUAUUAGGAGGAACACCAGUGGCGAAGGCGGCUUGCUGGACAGCAACUGACGCUGAGGCGCGAAAGCGUGGGGAGCAAACAGGAUUAGAUACCCUAGUAGUC